GUGGGGAAUUGUUCGCAAUGGGCGCAAGCCUGACGACGCAACGCCGCGUGGAGGACGAAGAUCUUCGGGUCGUAAACUCCUUUCGAUCGGGAAGAACGUUUUCGGGGUGAAUAAUCCCGAGAAGUGACGGUACCGAGAGAAGAAGCCCCGGCUAACUCUGUGCCAGCAGCCGCGGUAAUACAGGGGGGGCAAGCGUUGUUCGGAAUUACUGGGCGUAAAGGGCUUGUAGGCGGCCAACUAAGUCACACGUGAAAUCCCCAGGCUUAACCUGGGAACUGCGUGUGAUACUGGAUGGCUUGAAUUCGGGAGAGGGAUGCAGAAUUCCAGGUGUAGCGGUGAAAUGCGUAGAUAUCUGGAGGAAUACCGGUGGCGAAGGCGGCAUCCUGGACCGACAUUGACGCUGAGGAGCGAAAGCUAGGGGAGCAAAC
rnacentral:rRNA from 1 species